GGCCAGAUAGCUCAGUUGGUAGAGCAGAGGAUUGAAAAUCCUCGUGUCGGCGGUUCGAUUCCCUCUCUGGCCACCA
rnacentral:tRNA from 1 species